AACCCCUGGUAAUGGGCAAAGCGACACUUUGUUGGUGGUGGUAGUCUUACAUCGGUCGGGGCAGAGCAGACGGCAGGCCUUUAUUCAUCCUAGCUUGAUGCCUGGCUUGGUGGCAAAGCUGUUUUAUGCCUAGGACACAUAA